GCAUAUUAAUGAGGGAAGGAAAAGAAAUUAAAUAAGAUUCCUUUAGUAGCGGCGAGCGAAAUAGGAUAAGCCCAGCACUAAGUCAUCCGAUUCUUGUGAUCGGUAUGAGAUGCAGUGUAUGGAGAGUCUAUUAUCUAAUGUAAUAAAUAAUGCGUUCAAGUCCAUCUUGAAUGGGGCCAAUAUAUCCAUAGAGGGUGCCAGGCCCGUAGUAACCAUUAUUAUGCAUUAGAAGACUUUUCCAAAGAGUCGUGUUGCUUGAUAGUGCAGCACUAAGUGGGUGGUAAACUCCAUCUAAGGCUAAAUAUAACCACGAAACCGAUAGCGAACAAGUACCGUGAGGGAAAGUUGAAAAGUACUCUGAAUAGAGAGUUAAAUAGUACGUGAAACCGCUUAGGGGUUAAGCCCGAUGAACCCGAAUAUCUGAUGUGGAAAAUUCAAUACGGUAUUGAUUGUACGUAAUUGUAUAAUUUUUAUUGUAUGCACUUUUUCCAUAGUAAGACAUUGUAAUCCAUUAAUGUUAUAUUCUUUAAUCAGGAAUGAUUUAACAUACGGACAAGAUGCUUUUGUUUAUUCUAUCUGUGUCAUGAAUACAUGUCAUAUGAAUAAAUGUAUUUUGUACCUGUUUAAAUAGUUGAUGGAUUUAAUGACGAUCAUGCUUGCAUUCGUUGCGUUUCGUGUUAUUGGUUUUUAAUUGAUGACAGCAGAAAUGGCAUGUAUCUGAUUAACAAUGCGAUAGAUUUGGGAUGCCCUCGGGACCCGUCUUGAAACACGGACCAAGGAGUCUAACAUAUGUGCAAGUCAUUGGGUAUUUUGUUGAAACCUAUUGGCGUAAUUAAAAUGACUAUAUUUUAAUUUGGGAUCACAAGUGGUGUUCAAUUAUGCACUGCUUUUUAAUCCCGGGGCGUUCUAUACGAACAUGAUGCAAGCGAUUGUGUCCUCUGUUCAAGAGCGUACCUUGAGCAUAUAUGCUGUGACCCGAAAGAUGGUGAACUAUACCUGAUCAGGUUGAAGUCAGGGGAAACCCUGAUGGAAGACUGAAGCAGUUCUGACGUGCAAAUCGAUUGUCAGAAUUGGGUAUAGGGGCGAAAGACCAAUCGAACCAUCUAGUAGCUGGUUCCCUCCGAAGUUUCCCUCAGGAUAGCUGGUGCAAUGAAAUAUCAUAUAUAUAAUCUUAUCUGGUAAAGCGAAUGAUUAGAGGCAUUGGGGCCGAAACGACUUCAACCUAUUCUCAAACUUUAAAUGGGUAAGAACCUCAUCUUUCUUGAUCUGAAGAUAUUGGGGUUUAGAUAUAUUGUGCCCAGUGGGCCACUUUUGGUAAGCAGAACUGGCGCUGUGGGAUGAACCAAACGUGAUGUUACGACGCCUAAAUUAAUGACUCAUGUUGAUACCAUGAAAGGCGUUGGUUGCUUAAAACAGCAGGACGGUGGACAUGGAAGUCGUAAUCCGCUAAGGAGUGUGUAACAACUCACCUGCCGAAGCAACUAGCCCUUAAAAUGGAUGGCGCUUAAGUCAUAUGUCUAUACAUCACCGCUAGAAUAGAAGGUUAUGUUGGGUAACUGACAUAACUAUGAAAUUCUAGUGAGUAGGAGGGUACAAUGGUGAGCGCAGAAGUGCUUGGCGUGAGCCUGCAUGGAGCCGCCAUUGGCACAGAUCUUGGUGGUAGUAGCAAAUAAUCGAAUGAGAUCUUGGAGGACUGAAGUGGAGAAGGGUUUCGUGUGAACAGUGGUUGAUCACGAGUUAGUCGGUCCUAAGCCCUAUGCGAAAGCUGUUUAAAUUAUGUUAUAAUGUUUAAAACAACAUACAAACAUAAUCUAUUCGGGCGAAAGGGAAUACGGUUCCAAUUCCGUAACCUGUUGAGUAUACGUUUGUUUACUAAAAGUGGGUCUUAUAUACUCAUCCUGGCAACAGGAACAACCAUAGAGAAGCCUUCGAGAGGUAUUGGAAGAGUUUUCUUUUCUGUUGAACAAUCGUAUAACCAUGGAAGUCUUUCACAGAGAGAUAUGGUUAAUUGAUUGGAAGAACAUGACAUUUACUGUUGUGUCAAUACUUUCUCCUUGGACCUUGAAAAUCUAUGGUGGGGCCACGCAAAUUUCUCAACAGACCGUACCGAUAUCCGCAGCCGGUCUCCAAGGUGAAGAGUCUCUAGUCGAUAGAAUAAUGUAGGUAAGGGAAGUCGGCAAAUUAGAUCCGUAACUUCGGGAUAAGGAUUGGCUCUGAAGAUUGAGAUAGUCGGGCUUGAUUGGGAAAUGAUUAUAACGGUUUAUGUACUCGUUCUGGGUAAAUAGAAUUAUUGCGCAAGUAAUGAUUUGUUCCCCGGAUAGUAGAUUUCAUGGCCAAAUCGUGGAACAGUCUUGCUGUGCUGGUGGUAGUUGACGUUGUAACAGAUGUUGGCUGCUAUCGAAAACGAUUAUCAAUAAACAAUUAAUUCAGAACUGGCACGGACCUGGGGAAUCCGACUGUCUAAUUAAAACAAAGCAUUGUGAUGGCCCUCACGGGUGUU
rnacentral:rRNA from 1 species